rnacentral:misc_RNA from 1 species
GAUGAAGAACGUAGCGAAAUGCGAUAAGUAAUGUGAAUUGCAGAAUUCAGUGAAUCAUCGAAUCUUUGAACGCACAUUGCGCCCGCCAGUAUUCUGGCGGGCAUGCCUGUCUGAGCGUCAUUUCAACCCUCAUGCCCCUAGGGCGUGGUGUUGGGGAUCGGCCAAAGCCCGCGAGGGACGGCCGGCCCCUAAAUCUAGUGGCGGACCCGUCGUGGCCUCCUCUGCGAAGUAGUGAUAUUCCGCAUCGGAGAGCGAUGAGCCCCUGCCGUUAAACCCCCAACUUUCCAAGGUUGACCUCAGAUCAGGUAGGAAUACCCGCUAAACUUAAGCAUAUCAAUAAGCGGAGGA